rnacentral:rRNA from 1 species
AGCGAACGCUGGCGGCAUGCUUAACACAUGCAAGUCGCACGGGCCUUUCGGGGUCAGUGGCGGACGGGUGAGUAACGCGUAGGAACAUGUCCAGGGGUGGGGGAUAACGCUGGGAAACUGGCGCUAAUACCGCAUGUGAGCUGAGGCUCAAAGCAGUGAUGCGCCUUUGGAGUGGCCUGCGUCCGAUUAGGUUGUUGGUGGGGUAAUGGCCUACCAAGCCUGCGAUCGGUAGCUGGUCUGAGAGGACGACCAGCCACACUGGGACUGAGACACGGCCCAGGACUCCUACGGGAGGCAGCAGGUGGGGAAUAUUGGACAAUGGGCGCAAGCCUGAUCCAGCCACGCCGCGUGAGUGAUGAAGG